CAUUUAUAUUGUCACGAGCACCUAGUUGGCCAGGUACAUGAAAACUUCAGCUGAAAUUAUCUGAAAACAUAGUCAAGAAUGCGAUGUCGCCAGUGUCGCUGUUGUUGUUCUUUCAUGGUGGAGGCGAAAUGAGCGAUACAAAUUGUUUCUAAUUUAUACUUAUUCCUGUGAUUUGAAAUACCAAAUUGAACUUCGUAUCUUAUAUGUAUACUGUCAGUCAUUCCAACAAGUUGACUUAGCCCAUGACUUAGCGCUCAGUCAAUUUCCAUCCAUUAGAUCCUCAUGCUGUCAAAAGCCUAAAACUCAUGUUUGAAGAGCACAUAUAGUGGAAUAUAAAGGUGCCGAGAUAAGGUAUUCUUGCUUAUGAACCAUAGUAUCUUUUCUGAAUCUCGCAAUUUUGGUGGUGUACCUUGCAACAGCAUGUUUGUUGUUAUGGCUUUUUUUUUACUUUGGUUUAGAAGGCAACCUAGCUAAGAGAUAGAGUUUCAGUGACUUGAAGAGUGUGAAGUGAACACCCUAUCACCACGCUUCUGCAAUACUUCAUGACACUUUCUUUAGCAUCAGGAAAUUUAUCUCAACAUGUGGACGUAAUGCUGUUGGUUGCUUGGAAUUCCAUUAUUACGGUUUUUUCAUCAUGAACUUUUCAGUGUGCUUCUUAGAAAAGAGCACGCAGUUUCUUUGUGGAAUCGUGUGGUCCUGGCACGGAUAUUCUUGAGCCAACGCUGGCUUUUGUCCAUGACCAACGUUCUGCUCCAUCCUUAUAUUGCCGACGUAAGCUCAUCCGGCUUCUGCUUCAUCGCUUCUUACACAAAAUACAACUUGUCUUACUUCACUGUUGAGUACUCGAGUUGGAACACUUCAGCGGUCGCUUCCGUGCCGCUGUUACACACCUGCAGUCACUCACCACGGGAUUAUGCCCAGGUAAUGCAGAGGAGACGUCGAGAAGAUGGACACCAAAACAUCUCCGUUAUCUCCAAAAUGUCAGCGCGGAUCAUCAUUUGUUGUUGUUAAUUUGUUGUUGUUAUAUGUUGUUGUUUGUGUUAGUUAACCCGUUGUCUGCCACGCAUUUGUUCUUCCCUAGCUCCUUUGCACGGGCCGCGCUGGUCGGCCUCGUGGAUUUCAUGCCGCGAGGUCAGAAUGUCGCCAAGCCCAAACUUUGCCGCAAGGCCAGCCUUUUAGGCAAUGCACCCCCUCUCCCCCCUUGUCGAUACGGUGAUGGGUCUUCUCCUGUCACCGUGUCA